ACCCUUCUGUGGUUCAUAAGUGUGGUGGUUCAGUUUUCACGCAUGUGUGAGACGUGCCUCCCUCCAACCUUGUUACAGCACAAGCACAUUACCCAUCUGACA